rnacentral:rRNA from 1 species
GAUGAACGCUGGCGGCGUGCUUAACACAUGCAAGUCGAACGAUGAAGCCCAGCUUGCUGGGUGGAUUAGUGGCGAACGGGUGAGUAACACGUGAGUAACCUGCCCUUAACUCUGGGAUAAGCCUGGGAAACUGGGUCUAAUACCGGAUAGGAGCGUCCACCGCAUGGUGGGUGUUGGAAAGAUUUAUCGGUUUUGGAUGGACUCGCGGCCUAUCAGCUUGUUGGUGAGGUAAUGGCUCACCAAGGCGACGACGGGUAGCCGGCCUGAGAGGGUGACCGGCCACACUGGGAUUGAGACACGGCCCAGACUCCUACGGGAGGCAGCAGUGGGGAAUAUUGCACAAUGGGCGAAAGCCUGAUGCAGCGACGCCGCGUGAGGGAUGACGGCCUUCGGGUUGUAAACCUCUUUCAGUAGGGAAGAAGCGAAAGUGACGGUACCUGCAGAAGAAGCACCGGCUAACUACGUG